CAGUAGUCACGAGUUUGAUCAUGGCUCAGGAUGAACGCUAGCGGCAGGCUUAACACAUGCAAGUCGAGGGGUAUAGGCUUUCGGACCAAGAGACCGGCGCACGGGUGCGUAACGCGUAUGCAAUCUACCUUUUGCAGAGGGAUAGCCCAGAGAAAUUUGGAUUAAUACCUCAUAGUAUAGUACUUUGGCAUCAAGGAACUAUUAAAGUCACAACGGCAAAAGAUGAGCAUGCGUCCCAUUAGCUAGUUGGUAAGGUAAUGGCUUACCAAGGCGACGAUCAGUAUCUGGUUUGAGAGGAUGAUCAGACACACUGGAACUGAGACACGGUCCAGACUCCUACGGGAGGCAGCAGUGGGGAAUUUUCCGCAAUGGGCGAAAGCCUGACGGAGCAAUACCGCGUGAGGGAAGAAAGCCUACUGGGUUGUAAACCUCUUUUUUCAGGGAGGAAAAAAAUGACGUGUACCUGAAGAAUAAGCAUCGGCUAACUCCGUG
rnacentral:rRNA from 1 species